GUGCCAGCCGCCGCGGUAAUACCGGCAGCCCGAGUGAUGGCCGAUCUUAUUGGGCCUAAAGCGUCCGUAGCUGGCUGCGCAAGUCCGUCGGGAAAUCCACUCGCCCAACGAGUGGGCGUCCGACGGAAACUGCACAGCUUGGGACCGGAAGGCUCGAAGGGUACGUUCGGGGUAGGAGUGAAAUCCCGUAAUCCUGGACGGACCACCGAUGGCGAAAGCACCUCGGAAGGACGGAUCCGACAGUGAGGGACGAAAGCCAGGGUCUCCAACCGGAUUAGAAACCCCGGUAGUCC
rnacentral:rRNA from 1 species